UCAGGGUGUGUCUAAGCUGUG
rnacentral:piRNA from 1 species